CCUACGGGGGGCAGCAGUGAGGAAUAUUGGUCAAUGGUCGGGAGACUGAACCAGCCAAGCCGCGUGAGGGAGGAAGGUACAGAGUAUCGUAAACCUCUUUUGUCAGGGAACAAAGACUGGGACGCGUCCCCGGAUGAGAGUACCCGCAGAAUAAGCAUCGGCUAACUCCGUGCCAGCAGCCGCGGUAAUACGGAGGAUGCGAGCGUUAUCCGGAUUUAUUGGGUUUAAAGGGUGCGUAGGCGGAUUUUUAAGUCAGCGGUAAAAUGUCCGGGCUCAACCCGGGCCGGCCGUUGAAACUGGGGAUC
rnacentral:rRNA from 1 species